UACGUAGGGUGCAAGCGUUGUCCGGAAUUAUUGGGCGUAAAGAGCUCGUAGGCGGUUUGUCGCGUCUGCUGUGAAAAUCCGAGGCUCAACCUCGGACUUGCAGUGGGUACGGGCAGACUAGAGUGCAGUAGGGGAGAAGGGAAUUCCUGGUGUAGCGGUGGAAUGCGCAGAUAUCAGGAGGAACACCGAUGGCGAAGGCACUUCUCUGGGCUGUAACUGACGCUGAGGAGCGAAAGCGUGGGGAGCGAACAGG
rnacentral:rRNA from 1 species